rnacentral:tRNA from 1 species
GCCUCUAUAGUUCAGUGGAAGAGCGUCUGUCUUGUAAACAGAAGCCACGGAUCUCCCUCAUAUGAGGGAUCUCGAGCCGGUUAGUCGCG